CCUACGGGAGGCUGCAGUGAGGAAUAUUGGUCAAUGGGCGCAAGCCUGAACCAGCCAAGUCGCGUGAGGGAUGACGGUCCUAUGGAUUGUAAACCUCUUUUGUCGGGGAGCAAGGCUCGCCACGUGUGGCGGGAAGGAGAGUACCUGAAGAAAAAGCAUUGGCUAACUCCGUGCCAGCAGCCGCGGUAAUAGGGAGGAUCCGAGCGUUAUCCGGAUUGAUUGGGUUUAAAGGGUGCGUAGGCGGCCUUUUAAGUCAGUGGUGCAAGUCUGUGCGUCAACCAUAGAAUUGCCGUUGAAACUGGUAGGCUUGAGUAUGUUAGAGGCAGGCGGAAUGCGAGGUGUAGCGGUGAAAUGCUUAGAUAUAACGAAGAACCCCGAUGGCGAAGGCAGCC
rnacentral:rRNA from 1 species